GUGGGGAAUCUUGCGCAAUGGGCGAAAGCCUGACGCAGCCAUGCCGCGUGAAUGAUGAAGGUCUUAGGAUUGUAAAAUUCUUUCACCGGGGACGAUAAUGACGGUACCCGGAGAAGAAGCUCCGGCUAACUUCGUGCCAGCAGCCGCGGUAAUACGAAGGGGGCUAGCGUUGCUCGGAAUUACUGGGCGUAAAGGGCGCGUAGGCGGACAGCUUAGUCAGAGGUGAAAGCCCAGGGCUCAACCUUGGAAUUGCCUUUGAUACUGGCUGUCUUGAGUUUGGGAGGGGUGAGUGGAACUCCGAGUGUAGAGGUGAAAUUCGUAGAUAUUCGGAAGAACACCGGUGGCGAAGGCGACUUGCUGGGCAGCAACUGACGCUGAGGCGCGAAAGCCAGGGGAGCAAACGGGAUUAGAUACCCUGGUAGUCC
rnacentral:rRNA from 1 species